rnacentral:misc_RNA from 1 species
GAAAUGCGAUACGUAAUGCGAAUUGCAGAAUUCAGUGAAUCAUCGAAUUUUUGAACGCAAAUUGCGCUCUCGGGAUAGGCCUGAGAGCAUGUUUCUUUGAGCCUCGUGUCUAACCCACCUCGGCUGCGUGCCGGAGAAUGAAAGUCUUGUGUCAAUGGCAUGCAAGUCUUUUUAAGCUUAUUGAGUCCAUUCUUCGAUUCGCCUUGCUAGAUGUCUUCUGCAAUGCGGCGCGAUUAGAUUAACUUUCUUCUCGCUGUAGCGUAGUCGAUAACAUGUAAAGCAGUCUGAGAUAUGAACGAUACGGAACCUUUUUUGACUUAGAGCUCAAAUGAAGCAAGAUAACCCGCUGAACUUAA